CAGGUCUGUGAUGCCCUUAGAUGUUCUGGGCCGCACGCGCGCUACACUGACAUGCUCAUCGAGAUUUCUACCUUGCUCGAUAGGGCUGUGGCAACCUUUUCAAAGCAUGUCGUGCUGGGGCUAGAUUAUUGUAAUUAUUAAUCUUCAACGAGGAAUUCCUAGUAGACGCAAGUCAUCAACUUGCAUCGAUUACGUCCCUGCCCUUUGUACACACCGCCCGU
rnacentral:rRNA from 1 species